UACGUAGGGUGCGAGCGUUAAUCGGAAUUACUGGGCGUAAAGCGUGCGCAGGCGGUUUUGUAAGCCAGAUGUGAAAUCCCCGGGCUUAACCUGGGAAUGGCAUUUGGGACUGCAAGGCUUGAGUGCGGCAGAGGAGACUGGAAUUCCUGGUGUAGCGGUGGAAUGCGCAGAUAUCAGGAGGAACACCGAUGGCGAAGGCAGAUCUCUGGGCCGUAACUGACGCUGAGGAGCGAAAGCAUGGGGAGCGAACAGG
rnacentral:rRNA from 1 species